rnacentral:rRNA from 1 species
CCUACGGGUGGCAGCAGUGAGGAAUAUUGGUCAAUGGACGAGAGUCUGAACCAGCCACGCAGCGUGAAGGAUGACUGCUCUAUGGGUUGUAAACCUCUUUUAUAUGGGAAUAAAUUGUUCCACGUGUGGGAUUAUGUAUGUACCAUACGAAUAAGGAUCGGCUAACUCCGUGCCAGCAGCCGCGGUAAUACGGAGGAUCCGAGCGUUAUCCGGAUUUAUUGGGUUUAAAGGGAGCGUAGGUGGAUUGUUAAGUCAGGUGUGAAAGUUUGGGGCUCAACCGUAAAAUGGCAGUUGAUACUGGCAGUCUUGAGUACAGUAGAGGUAGGCGGAAUUCGUGGUGUAGCGGUGAAAUGCUUAGAUAUCACGAAGAACUCCGAUGGCGAAGGCAGUUCACUGGACUGCAACUGACACUGAGGCACGAAAGUGUGGGUAGCAAACGGGAUUAGAUACCCUUGUAGUC